UGCUUGGUAGCUUAGUUGGUAAAGCACUCGUCUAGCAUGCAAGAGUCGUGGGUUCCAAUUCCACCUCAGCAC
rnacentral:tRNA from 1 species